UGAGGUAGUAGUUUGUACAGUUUCAGGGUCUACAAUACCACCCGGUAUAGGAGAUAACUGUACAGGCCACUGCCUUGC
rnacentral:pre_miRNA from 1 species